ACGGAGGUGAAUGUUAGUUCAGAGAAAUAUUGAAGAGUGGAAAGCUUACUGUAGUUUCGGAGCGGGAAACGAAUUGCAGCAAUGCAGAUACAGAUGUGGCUGUACACGGGUAUUGUGCUGUACCUCAGUUAUACGUGUAUGCGGACGUACGCUACACAACAAGCGUUGAUAUGGAAAACCUGUGCCCAAACCAAUGCUAGGACAUGGCAAGUAGAUUGGGCAUUUUGCGAAACACGAGAAAAGUGGGAGGAUGCAAAGGAGAGAUGUAAGGACGCAGGUGGGAACCUAGCUACUGCCCAAACAAUAACGCAACGUAGGUGUGCAAGCUCGACGGUGACAAGAACAUCCACCCAAAACUGUUCAUCUAGUAGAGCAAUGACGGGUUGUGGUGUAUGGGUAGGCCUGAAAGGUACCUGGCCUAGGCGCGGAGGAACAUGGACGGCCUGGAACUGGGAAGUUACUCAAUUUCCUUCCGGAUCAGCACCUCCAUGGACAUCUCAAAACCCCAUGAUUGACGAGGAUAUGAAAUACGGAUACUACUGGCCAGAAAGGAAUGGCCUGGAGAACACCGACAAGAACAGCAUGCUCAUGUACCUCUGCCAGCGAUAUGUACCGAAAGAAAACUGGUACUCCUGCAAUUGCACAGCGGAUCAAACAACGGGAUGCAUGCAGACACUCUACAUUUCAACGCCUAAGAAUUUCGAUGGUGCUGCUGCAGAGUGCGCCACUAGAAGCAGCAUUUUGGCAAAUAUCCAGAAUAUGGACCACAAAGAAUGCGCUAUAUCUCUGUUAGGACCCCGAAACGGUCAAUGCAACAGUACAAGCUGUCGGGGAUCCUGCAAGGCCAACACUUGCAAUGUCUGGGUUGCACUGAAAAAAAUGAACUCGAAAUGGAAAUGGCUGUCACCUGUUCAAAUUGUGGCACGUAACAUCACCUGGAUAAACAAUGAACCCAAUACAAAAGGAGGAUUCCGAUGCGUCUAUUACUCGCCAGAACAUGGCAGGUUUGAAAAUGAACGUUGUCAGUUAAAGAAAAGUUUCUACUGCCAAAGAUACAUAC